GACGUAGGGCGCAAGCGUUGUCCGGAAUUAUUGGGCGUAAAGAGCUCGUAGGCGGUUUGUCGCGUCUGCUGUGAAAACUCGGGGCUUAACUCCGGGCCUGCAGUGGGUACGGGCAGACUAGAGUGUGGUAGGGGAGACUGGAAUUCCUGGUGUAGCGGUGAAAUGCGCAGAUAUCAGGAGGAACACCGAUGGCGAAGGCAGGUCUCUGGGCCAUAACUGACGCUGAGAAGCGAAAGCAUGGGGAGCGAACAGG
rnacentral:rRNA from 1 species